rnacentral:ncRNA from 1 species
GGGCCGCACGCGCGCUACACUGACCGGAUCAGCGUGUGCUCUCCUUGGCCGACAGGUCCGGGAAACCCGUUGAACCCCGGUCGUGCUAGGGAUAGGGAAUUGCAAUUAUUUCCCUUGAACGAGGAAUUCCCAGUAAGCGCGAGUCAUUAGCUCGCGUUGAUUACGUCCCUGCCCUUUGUACACACCGCCCGUCGCUACUACCGAUUGAAUGGUUUAGUGAGGUCCUCCGAUUGGACCCGGUCCGGGCGGCGACGUCCGAGCCGGCGUCCGAGAAGACGAUCUAACUUGAUCAUUUAGAGGAAGUAAAAGUCGUAACAAGGUUUCCGUAGGUGAACCUGCGGAAGGAUCAUUA